rnacentral:rRNA from 1 species
AUUGAACGCUGGCGGCAGGCCUAACACAUGCAAGUCGAGCGGAUGAAGGGAGCUUGCUCCUGGAUUCAGCGGCGGACGGGUGAGUAAUGCCUAGGAAUCUGCCUGGUAGUGGGGGAUAACGUCCGGAAACGGGCGCUAAUACCGCAUACGUCCUGAGGGAGAAAGUGGGGGAUCUUCGGACCUCACGCUAUCAGAUGAGCCUAGGUCGGAUUAGCUAGUUGGUGGGGUAAAGGCCUACCAAGACGACGAUCCGUAACUGGUCUGAGAGGAUGAUCAGUCACACUGGAACUGAGACACGGUCCAGACUCCUACGGGAGGCAGCAGUGGGGAAUAUUGGACAAUGGGCGAAAGCCUGAUCCAGCAAUGCCGCGUGUGUGAAGAAGGUCUUCGGAUUGUAAAGCACUUUAAGUUGGGAGGAAGGGCAGUAAGUUAAUACCUUGCUGUUUUGACGUUACCAACAGAAUAAGCACCGGCUAACUUCGUG